UACGAAGGGGGCUAGCGUUGCUCGGAAUCACUGGGCGUAAAGGGUGCGUAGGCGGGUCUUUAAGUCAGGGGUGAAAUCCUGGAGCUCAACUCCAGAACUGCCUUCGAAACUGACGAUCUUGAGUUCGGGAGAGGUGAGUGGAACUGCGAGUGUAGAGGUGAAAUUCGUAGAUAUUCGCAAGAACACCAGUGGCGAAGGCGGCUCACUGGCCCGAUACUGACGCUGAGGUGCGAAAGCGUGGGGAGCAACAGGG
rnacentral:rRNA from 1 species